GAACCCGAAGCUUAGGCAGCGAAGCAUCCGGCUUUUAAUCGGACGAGCAGGGCGCGAGUCCCUGCGGGUUCA
rnacentral:tRNA from 1 species